rnacentral:rRNA from 1 species
AAUAGAUACCCUGGUAGUCCACGCCGUAAACGAUGGGUACUAGCUGUUCGGCGUAAGCUGAGUGGCUAAGCGAAAGUGAUAAGUAUCCCACCUGGGGAGUACGAACGCAAGUUUGAAACUCAAAGGAAUUGACGGGGGCCCGCACAAGCGGUGGAGCAUGUGGUUUAAUUCGAUGAUACGCGAGGAACCUUACCAGGGCUUAAAUGUAGAUUGACAGGUUUAGAGAUAGACUUUUCUUCGGACAAUUUACAAGGUGCUGCAUGGUUGUCGUCAGCUCGUGCCGUGAGGUGUCAGGUUAAGUCCUAUAACGAGCGCAACCCCUGUUGUUAGUUGCCAGCGAGUCAAGUCGGGAACUCUAACAAGACUGCCAGUGCAAACUGUGAGGAAGGUGGGGAUGACGUCAAAUCAUCACGGCCCUUACGUCCUGGGCUACACACGUGCUACAAUGGUAGGGACAGAGAGCAGCCACUUCGCGAGAAGGAGCGAAUCUAUAAACCCUAUCACAGUUCGGAUCGGAGU